AGGAGGAGAUAAAGCGUUCUCUUCUGAGCGUGAAGUCGGCUUUUGGUGUUGCUUCUGCAGCUGCCGUUAGCCAUUGAUGAUCGUUCUUCUUUUCCUUUUAGGAGAUGAAGAGGGAGAGAACGUAAUCUGA
ensembl:snoRNA U3 Small nucleolar RNA U3